rnacentral:rRNA from 1 species
UACGUAGGGUGCAAGCGUUGUCCGGAAUUAUUGGGCGUAAAGAGCUCGUAGGCGGUCUGUCGCGUCGGCUGUGAAAACCCGGAGCUCAACUCCGGGCCUGCAGUCGAUACGGGCAGACUGGAGUUCGGCAGGGGAGACUGGAAUUCCCGGUGUAGCGGUGAAAUGCGCAGAUAUCGGGAGGAACACCGGUGGCGAAGGCGGUUCUCUGGGCCUUACCUGACGCUGAGGAGCGAAAGCGUGGGGAGCGAACAGG